rnacentral:rRNA from 1 species
UAAAACGUAGGAGGCAAGCGUUAUCCGGAGUUACUGGGCGUAAAGAGUGCGUAGGCGGACCUGUAAGUGGGUGGUGAAAGCGCCCGGCUAAACCGGGCGAGGUUCAUUCAGACUGCAGGUCUAGAGGCGGAUAGAGGGGUGCGGAAUUCCGGGUGUAGCGGUGAAAUGUGUAGAGAUCCGGAGGAACACCAGUGGUGCAAACGGCGCCCUGGGUCCGAACUGACGCUGAAGCACGAAAGCGUGGGGAGCGAACGGGAUUAGAGACCCCGGUAGUCCACGCCGUAAACGAUGUCAACUAGGUGUCCACUGGGCUACGGUUCAGGGGGUGCCGACGCUAACGCAAUAAGUUGACCGCCUGGGGAGUACGGUCGCAAGGCUA